AUGAAGUUCUUCAUCUUUACCUGCCUUUUGGCUGUUGCUCUGGCACAUCAUGAGAUAAAGCACUCCUCCUCUUCCAGUGAGGAA
rnacentral:sRNA from 1 species